AGACCCAUCACCCCACCCCCUCAGGUCAUCUUCUUCGAACCACCCCAUCCCCAAACGAUUGUCCUUGAUCUAUUCAACAAUCGACGAACCAGACCACUCUUCAACUCCACCUUUCAUCAUAUCGGCAACCAAACAAGCCCAGACCCCGUUGCAGCCGCUCCCUCUACACUCAAACUCAACGACCCCUGAAACUCGUCUUCUUUGGCGAGGCCAGCCCCACCAGCUCCUACAUUCACCAGGUCUCGCCAGAAAUGGCAAUCAAUGGUGAUGAAAGGCCAUGGACAUGACUGAAACCUUCGUUAAUCAUUUGAGUUUUCCGGCAAGGCAUUUGGUUUUCGAGUCGAAGUCCUAGCCGCCGAUUCAAGGUACUAUUUGAAGUCCGAUUCAGUUGUUGCACGUGUUUUGUCUUCGUCGCUGGGUCUUGCGCACAGUUCAGUUCGAACCCAUCUUUGUAAUCAUUGAUUUUACUCGUUUAAAAGAAGCCAUCUCAGGUUCAAUAUCUUUCUCUUUUUUACAUCUGUUUGAUUGUCGAUUGGGAAAAUGUGAUAAGAGUUAUGCUAAUCCAUCUAUAAACAUAGGUCUGUGAGUAAUUUCAGUUGAGGUUGGAUUCAGAGUUAGCAUUUAUUCUCGAUUCAUGUUUGAAAAUUGUAUUUGAUAUGUCAUUUUGCUAUUUGGAAUCCUAUAUUCACUGUCCUGAUUUGCCUCGAGCACGUUCAGAUAACAAAAGGCUAAUUUGAAUGUUCGUUUCCUAUGUCUUGGAUGCCUUUAGCUGUUUAUGGUGUUGAAGUAUCUCUUGGGAUUUAAGUUUUCUCGAGUUGAAAUGGACGAUUUGUCCGGCUUCAGGAUUUGUUUGAAUAAGUCUGAACCAGCGACGCAUAUUCUCAUGGUUUUCUGUUUGGUUCUCUGUUUGAUUCUCAUCAUGCCUAAUUGUUCUAUUCUUUUCUUUGGGAUAUGCAUAACAGUUUGUGUAGGGGAGUGUAGAGGGUCUGAACUAAUUUGGGGACAUUUAUUUGUCUGAAAGAAUUUAAAUCUCAACUAUGUUUGAAAUUAAUUAGGAAGCCUUUAAGAUAGCCUAAGAAUUGUUUAAUAAAAGGUGUAUCUCACCUACUUAAGAAGUUGCUAGCACAUGGUAGGAUCAGUCUAGGGAUUAAUUUAAUAAAAAGGGGAUCAACAAUGCAAAGGACACCCUGUUCCAUACUUUUAAGAGUUGGAAAGUAAGACAACAUGGGGGGAACAUUUUAAAAAGCUUAAAUAAUACAAUUAUGAAGAAAAGAUGAGCUGGAAAGGGGGGAGGCUGGAAGUUUAAAAAGAGAGAGCAAUAGAGAGGAAGGGGGAAGCAAUCUAAAGCCGAAAGACACAUUUUUUAUAACGAGAGUAUGAGAAAUCAGAUUUCUGAAAUAUAAAGGGCAAAAAAAAAAAUUACUGUUAUUCCGAUUGCAUUUUUCUUGGCUUCUUCAUUCUGAAAACAAUUCUGAACCAUCCUGGGAACUUGAAAUGUGUUUAUCUUGGGUUAGAGAAGGUUUUUAAUCUGAGCUUUUAAAAGGUUUACUGCUCCAUUGAUUUGGAAUCGAAUUCCUUGGUUUUAAUUGUGAGCACGUGAUUUUUGCCCUAUAUGAGAAUUACUCCCAAAAAAUUCAAAAUAAAUAAUUUUCCUUUGUGUGCAAUUUUUGAAUUUUUGUGACAUUUUUUGAUAAUUAUUUGUAUUUUGUCUGUACAUGUUAAUGUGUUAAAUUAAUAAAAAAUCAUAAAAAUAUGUCGCAUCUGCAUUUGAUAUUUAAUUAAGUUUGUUUUACAAAAUGAAAAAAUCAUAAAAAUAAUGUAUGUUGCAUUUUUAGCAUUUAAUGUCCAAAUUGUGUGAUUUUAUCGUUAAUCGCUAUUUAAUUGUGUGUUAAUUGCUAUUAAGAGUUAAUUAGUAUUUCCAGAUAAUUUUGGGUUUUAUAAUUUAAUCUUACCAUUUUUUAGCUAUAUUAUUUAGGAAAUUGAAUAAAUAGAGAAGAACAAAAAUGGAAGAAGGCCGGAUUGGGCCUUUUCUUCAAUUUU
rnacentral:lncRNA from 1 species